GAUGACGUCACUGAAUAGCGACCAUAUUUAAAGAGGAAUAGUAGAAGUCAGAAUGAGGAUGUUGGAGGUGGUUAUGGGUGAUUUGGUGUUAGGAGAUUCUGUUUGGUUCAUGUUGCUUGUGGCUAUAAGUAUUCUGUGUUCUGACUGCUGUUCUGGUUUUGACUUUUGCCUGGUUCUGACUCGGGAUGCAGAUUUUUCUGGUGAUGGCCCUGUCACCUGUUUGUAAGUGAGGUGGGUUCACUGAAGCGGCAGAGAGAAUCAAGAAUCAUGAUCUUCUUGCAGGACUUCAUUCAAUGCAUUGAAGACAAGGGGGGAGGAAACCAGAGUACCCGGUACACCAAAGAUUCUCCUCCAACAUAAGCAUGCCAAAUUUGGUGAGGAUAUCUAAUUUUUUUUCAUGAGUUAUAGCCAUUUAUAUAAAAGUGGC
ensembl:lncRNA